rnacentral:rRNA from 1 species
AUUAAGCCAUGCAUGCCUAAGUCUUGGCUCUAGUACAGUGAAACCACGAAUGGCUCAUUAAAUCAGCUAUUGUUCAUUAGAUCAUAACCGUUACAUGGAUAACUGUAGUAAUUCUAGAGCUAAUACAUGCCUCGAUGCCGUGACCCGUAAGGGGAUCGGUGCACUUAUUAGAACAAGACCAACCAGGUAGCCAGACUUAAUUGUUUGGUGGCCUGUUGUGUCGUGUUGACUCUGGAUAAUUACGACAGAUCGCAGUCGACCUUUGUUGUCGGCGACAAUUCUUUCAAAUGUCUGCCCUAUCAACUUACGAUGGUAGGCGACCUGCCUACCAUGGUGAUAACGGGUAACGGGGAAUCAGGGUUCGAUUCCGGAGAGGGAGCCUGAGAAACGGCUACCACAUCCAAGGAAGGCAGCAGGCGCGCAAAUUACCCACUCCCGGCACGGGGAGGUAGUGACGAAAAAUAACGAUGCGGGACUCAUACGAGGCUCCGUAAUCGGAAUGAGAACACUCUAAAUCCUUUAACGAGGACCAAUUGGAGGGCAAGUCUGGUGCCAGCAGCCGCGGUAACUCCAGCUCCAAUAGCGUAUAUUAAAGUUGCUGCAGUUAAAAAGCUCGUAGUUGGAUCUUGACGGCAUUACUGCGUGUUUGGGUUUCAUUGUUUUGCUUAUGUCCUUUAUCUGCAUGCAUAUAGUGUAAAGCAUGUGUAUGUAUGAUAAUAUGGUUCUGGGCACAGUGUACCCAACUCGUCGGUGGUGAAGUCUUUCAGCCGUGUCUGUUGUCUUUACCAUUUUGUCUUGCUAUAGCAUAAAAUAAUGUUAUGGUAUUACAAAUAGUAUAAGAUGCAGGUGCUGAUAGUUGGAAUUUUGGGUCCGUCCCAGCCUUCUGUUGGUACGCCUCGUGAUGCUCUUAACUGAGCCGUCGCGAGUGCGGACGGCAUGUUUACUUUGAACAAAUUUGAGUGCUCAAAGCAGGCCUACGUGCCUGAAAAGUCUUGCAUGGAAUAAUGGAAUAGGACUUCGGUUCUAUUUUGUUGGUUUUCGGUUCCGAAGUAAUGGUUAAGAGAGACAGACGGGGGCAUUUGUAUGGCGGUGUUAGAGGUGAAAUUCUUGGAUCGCCGCCAGACAAUCUGAAGCGAAAGCAUUUGCCAGGAAUGUUUUCAUUGACAAAGAGCGAAAGUCAGAGGUUCGAAGACGAUCAGAUACCGUCCUAGUUCUGACCAUAAACGAUGCCAACUGACGAUCCGCGGUGGUAGUACAUAUCGUCCCCGCGGGCAGUCUCCGGGAAACCUGUAAGUCUUUGGGUUCCGGGGGAAGUAUGGUUGCAAAGCUGAAACUUAAAGGAAUUGACGGAAGGGCACCACCAGGAGUGGAGCCUGCGGCUUAAUUUGACUCAACACGGGAAAACUCACCCGGCCCGGACACUGUGAGGAUUGACAGAUUGACAGCUCUUUCUUGAUCCAGUGGUUGGUGGUGCAUGGCCGUUCUUAGUUGGUGGAGCGAUUUGUCUGGUAAUCCGU